rnacentral:pre_miRNA from 1 species
AAGCCGGAGAAUGCUCUCAUAUUUUUCCACGGCUUUCUUGAACUUCCCGAUCGGGAGUGUUGGCGACAGAUCGCACCGCUAACAGAUCCGCAUACGAAGCUCAAGAAAGCCGUGGGAAGAAUAUUAAAGGGAUUCAAUUUUAU